rnacentral:rRNA from 1 species
AGUGAACGCUGGCGGUAGGCCUAACACAUGCAAGUCGAACGGCAGCACAGUAAGAGCUUGCUCUUACGGGUGGCGAGUGGCGGACGGGUGAGGAAUACAUCGGAAUCUACUUUUUCGUGGGGGAUAACGUAGGGAAACUUACGCUAAUACCGCAUACGACCUACGGGUGAAAGCAGGGGAUCUUCGGACCUUGCGCGAUUGAAUGAGCCGAUGUCGGAUUAGCUAGUUGGCGGGGUAAAGGCCCAACAAGGCGACGAUCCGUAGCUGGUCUGAGAGGAUGAUCAGCCACACUGGAACUGAGACACGGUCCAGACUCCUACGGGAGGCAGCAGUGGGGAAUAUUGGACAAUGGGCGCAAGCCUGAUCCAGCCAUACCGCGUGGGUGAAGAAGGCCUUCGGGUUGUAAAGCCCUUUUGUUGGGAAAGAAAAGCAGCAGGUUAAUACCACGCUGUUCUGACGGUACCCAAAGAAUAAGCACCGGCUAACUUCGUG